rnacentral:rRNA from 1 species
UACGGAGGGAGCUAGCGUUGUUCGGAAUUACUGGGCGUAAAGCGCACGUAGGCGGCUUUGUAAGUUAGAGGUGAAAGCCCGGGGCUCAACUCCGGAACUGCCUUUAAGACUGCAUCGCUUGAAUCCGGGAGAGGUGAGUGGAAUUCCGAGUGUAGAGGUGAAAUUCGUAGAUAUUCGGAAGAACACCAGUGGCGAAGGCGACUUACUGGACGACUGUUGACGCUGAGGUGCGAAAGCGUGGGGAGCAAACAGG